GCUGAAUCACAAACUUAUAAAUCAAACAAUUUUUUUGUCUUUAGUGAUUGAUUAAUUAGGAUUAGAUGGGAUGAUAUUUGAUGGGAAAUUAGAUGCUUCAUUAGUAGAUAAUGCAUACAUACAUACAUACAUACAUACAUAAAUCCAAAUGCUAACAAAGCUGGAAACACGUCGUGGAUAUGUCCGAUCCAAAUGAUAUUGUCGCACGUCAGAAAAUCCGCGCGGCGUCGGCAAGCGAUUUUUUCUUCGUUGUGUGGCUUUGCUUGAAUUGCAAUUGAUUGGUUCGUUAGAGUUGCCACCUAGUAAUUUAAUUGAAGGCUACUAGGAAACUGGAUAUACUGGUCUUGUCAGAGAUUCGCGGGUAAGGGACUGGUUGUGGUUAGGGAAGGUAUUAGCACCCCUAACGCACCCUACCUGAGGUAAGCUGCUUCGCGAAUUUGAUGUGUUUAAAGAAGUUUUAAUAAUUAUUUUUUCAUCAGAUAUUAGAAAUACAACUUACGUAUAAGUUAAUAAUUCUGGACCGUGAUCCAAUCAAAAUAUUAAAUUCUUCUUUAAUCUUUGCAAUUUUAUCAUAAAUAAAAAACAUCCAUCAAAAAAAAACAUACAAACACACACAUACACUUUCACUAUUUUUCUUUUCUUUUCUUUUCUUUUCUUUUCCUUAUCUUUUUUUUCUUCCAUGUUUACAAAAUACAAAAACUCAAAACUAAACAAAUAUUACAUCAAACAAUUCUAAAAUUACAAAACAGCCAUUCAAAAAUCCAUAGCAGUGCUGGGACCAGUUUUGUGAAGCCAAAGGACAGCAAGAACAGUGGCGGCGCGUCUCCUCCACGCGCCACCGCCACUGGCGGCGCGUGGGUUCACGUGCCGCCGCACAAAACGCCGGAAAAAGCAGGGGUCAGCCACAGCUUCCUCCCCUCUUCCCGUCCUCGCCGGUGUUACCUGCAAAACACCCAAAAACGCAACAGGCAGUCGAUUUUAGUUUUUCUUUACUUUGUUUUCAUAUCUGCGUCUCUUUCUCUUUUUCUCCGUUUUGGAUUUGCUCCUCUCUACAGAUCGGUUCUUUUCCUUUUGUUUCUCCUUUUCUGUUUCAGGUGGUCGGCUGUAUGACCAAGAGGGCCGCCGGCUGCUAGGCUUUUGUCGGGUCUGGCCGGCGGAGAUGGAGAAGAAAUCUGCUGGUCUGAUCGUCGGCUUCAGUUGUCUUUGCUGCUGUCACUUGCGGCUGCUAGAGCUGCGGUGGAGAUGGGAGAGGUUGCUGGCAGUGUUGAGGCGGAGGAAAGGAUGGUCUCCUCUCCUGGUGGUAGCAGCGGCGGUUGGGGCUCGCUGCUGGUUGAAGGAGGCCGAUGGGUCGGCUGAGACAGGUGAGGGACGGCGUCUGGGUGGACCCGGGUCAGAUGAAGAGAGUGAUGGGGAGCUGGUUCGUGGUUGUUGAUGAGGGAAAGGUUGUUCUGUGUUGAGAGGGAAGAACCGAUCUGGGGAAGAGAAGGAAAGGAAAUGGCGUUUGGCAGGGGGAAUGUGGGUAUGGUCUGUGGGUAGCGACGGGUUCGGGGUUUGACUGGUUUUUCAAGUGAGAGAGGGAAGAUUUGUGGCUUGGGGGAACGGAGUGGCUGCUCCGGUUUGGUUUUGAAAGAGAGGGGGCUGUGGGUUUGUUGCCGGCUGCUGAGGGGAAGAAGAAAAUCAAAGGGGAGGGGCGGCCGACCUCUGUAAACAGGGGAAGGGAGGCUUGCGGCCGCCCCUGCUCUCCCUGGUUUUUUGCUCCUUGGGAAGGGGGGGCGCGCCGCUCCUUCAAAAAAGGAUAGGUUUAGGGUUAGGGUUAGGGUUAGUUUUUUUUUUCGGUAUUUUUUUGAUGUUUCAAAAUUGCCUCCCUUUUAUGUGUGUUGAAGACCAGUAUUUAUAGGCAAAAAUAUUGCUAGGUUUUCAAACUUGGUCCCUCAACUUCUUUUUUUGUAAAUUUUGAUUUUACUUAUUUUUUGGUAUUUUUUGAAAACGAGCAAUAUCAACAUCGACUCAAUGAGGAAAAUCAAUGAUUUUAAAAAUAAUGCGUUAAAAGUUGAACGCGUUCCAAAUAUCUUUGAAAAUUUAAAUUCUUUUGAGACGAUGCUAAAAAUGCUAAAAACGAUGCAAAUGUAUUAAAAACGUAUUUUUUUGGAUUUUCAAUGUUUUUCGUUAUUUUUGAAUUUUUCUGAAAAUUUAUCAAAACAUGGGUAAAAAAUUAGAUAGGAACAGAUAUGACAAGAUAUAUAGUCUUCAUUUGUAUAGCGUUAUGCUGUGCAGAACAUGACAAUGAAAGUAACAGCCUAACUAAUAAAGUCAUGCCAUCAAUUAUCACUUGAACAUUUGCUAGGUAGAGAUGGCAGAUCGAUGAUACAUCAAUUAUCAGCUCGAGUAAUUUAAUGACUUUGACUUAAGGACAUAUAAGUAGCUUCGUCAUUGUUUUAAACCUGGCAGGGAUAAAAAUAAACUUUAAUGUUUAAGAUAAAAUAAUAUGUGUUUGGAAAUGUGGUUGUUAUUGCUUUUUAAAUAACUUUUCGUAUUGAAAUAUAUUAAAAUGAUGUUUUUUUAUUUUUUAAAAAUCAUUUUUAAGAUUAACACGUUAAAACUAUCCAAAACAUAUAAAAAAAUUAAAUUUUUUAAUAAGGCGUUUUGCGAUUGUACGGAGCCCAAAUUGGGACCAUGAACUACUAAUGGUGAAUAAUGGUUUCAAGGCCCUGCUCAAGGGACCCAUCAUAUUUCUCGCAAUAAAUCCAAUAUCUGCAAACUAAAUAUUCUGCUGCUAAUCUAGUUUUAUAUGCUUGUAAGCCGAUGCUAAUUUACCUUUUCAUUGUUCCUUAAUCAAUCACUAUAUAUAGCCGACAACCCUGACAUGACCAGACCAGAGUUUCAUGGGGUCAGCACUGUCGUGCCAGUGAUUAUCCUAUCCGUACCAACUCAGUAACUCGUUUUUAUAAUUCGUAUUGUAAACAAGCUACUAUUUCUUCUUCCUGUUUUAUAUGCUUGUAAGUCAAUGCUAAUUUACCAUUUUAUAUAUAUAUAUAACUAUUUAUUCUUACGUCGCUUCAAAAUAUCAUGAGGUCGUCAUUCUCAGAAAACAAAAGUGCUUGAUUUUUUAAUUGUUUGUCCAUUUUGAAAUAUCAUCAGGUCCUCAGAAUAAAUCAUUCUCAGAAUAUAAAAAAUUCAUAUCCGUAGACUUCAACCAAAGUGAUAGCCAAUGAAGUAUGAGCUCAAACAUUGUAGUCCAAUCAAGCACCUUAUCCUCAAAAAAUCAAAUUGUUUUUGACAUUUCAAAUACCUCACAAGAUCCUAUAGGAUAACAAAGUUAAAGCUCUUCCCUGAAACCUUCCUUUAACCAGUACACUCCAUUGCAAAAUAACUUGAUCCAAGACAGUUCAUGAAACACUGCCAAAGUUCCCAGAAAUCAUGUCGAUGAAGAAAUAACUGAAUCACAUGUUCAGUUUCUGCUGCGCAGAACGAACAGAGUUUGGCUUUAAUUGAUUAAAUUAUUUAUUUAUUUUUUUUGAUAGCUAGGGGAAUGUAUUAAAAAAAAGCCAAAUUAAGGCGGGAAUAAGGAGAUACACAUCUGCAAGGGCACGCAGAUAUAAAAAGGAACAGGGCGAAGAAGAAUAGGCCAACAAACCACAAGAAAAACGGAGCAACAGCCGUCUAGAAAGCAGGAUUGCCUCCACAGAGAAACAGAGCUGCCAUCAGCCCUAAAUUUAAUUUAUUAAAUUCCUUGGUAAUAGAAAUCUCCUUGUAUGCAGCAUCCUUCCUUGUAAGGGAAGACGUUGCAGAAGUACCAGAGAAAAAUGAAUGGCUAAAAAGUAACUAAAAAUUAUUAAAGAUGAAAAGAUGAUUGCAUAACAUCGCGGCGAAUAUUCUUCUGUAUCAUAUUUGAUGUGAAGAGAACAAAAAAUUAUUGUUCUUUUAUGGUUUAAAAAUUUAGAGCUGCCACCUAUUGUUUUGUUUUAUUCACUAAAAACCCUAUAUUCAUUCUAAAUUCAAAAUAUAUUUUAUUAUAUUUUAUAUUUGUUUUGUCUCCCUUAAUGCUAGGAAUAUUUCUUAAGAUAUAUAUAUAUUUUUGGUGCUUAAUUUCACAUAUAUUCCUAGCCUAAUCUAGUAUUUUAUUAUCUUUUUCAGUUUAUUUUUGGUGCAGUUUACUUGUUUCUCAUCUUUUAAUACAAGUAGUUGAAUGGAUGGCAUUAAGAAAUGUUUCAAAGUUUCUACUUAAAAUGUGAUUUGGAGAAAAAAUUUAGCUGACAUCUCAAGCUUUCCAUUAAGUUCAGGUUCAUAAAAAUCCAAGUUAGUUUGGGCUGCCAAACAUUAGUCCAAGGCUGGAAAUCUCGAGUAAAUUUUCUGCCUGAGCACUGAACCUUUGGAAGCCUAUAACUUGAGCAUCUCAAGUCCAAAUUGAGUGAUUGAAAAGCCAAAAUUCAUCUACACAUUCAGACAUCCAGAGCUACAACUUUAAUCAGAGCCAAAGUUCAAUAGAAGCCUCUCUCAGUCUGAAACGGAGCUGGACAGGAGCGUGGAUGGAAACGGAAAGUGAGGUGUUGGCAUUGGAAAGAGCACAUGUGGAACAGAGUGAUUUAUUGGAGAGUGCAUCAUGGUACUUUUAAAGGAGAGAAUGAACGUGGCACAUGGCUGAGGAAUUAAUUUGGUCUAAGGGCUGCCUUAAGUCCGGGGGAUAAAAAAAAUAAAUUUAAAAGUUAAAAAAAGAGAGAGAAAAUAAAGAAUAUAGAGGAGGCGUGACCUAUUUGGAUAGAGAGGUAACAAUUCUAGGCGGCGUAGCUACCCCAGAAAAUAUUUAUAAAGGAGGCCAGGGGAGGGGAUUAUGAAAAGCGUGGGACAGCAGCACAAAAAAAGGAGGACACUUUGAUUUUGUGGAAAACAUCAGCGCAAAAAAGGAGACAUUGGGAAGAAAGUAACUGUGGAGAAGGACAGUAGCAGCAUGGGGAAGGUUUUGAAGAAACAGUUUUUAUCUUGGAAGCAUUAUUUUUUUUUUACAAUGUACAACUAAAAUCUCUAUUGGCUUGUCAUGAACCCUAAUUGAAUGAUUAUUUAAUAUACUUGAUACAAUCUAAGAUUGAUUGGUGUUUAUGUCAGUCUUUAUUAAAUUCAAAUCAAUAGGGAGAUUAAUUAAUCGUAACUAAGAUUCUCAAUAUUUGCUAAAAUUAUUUUCUCCCUUGUUUUCAAUUCAUACCCUUGUUCUUUAAUUUUUUAGUUUAAUUAAUUUUCAAAUCACAAUCAUUCAAAACACUGAUUUAAUUUUCUGUUAAGCAAUUUGGUCAAUCGGGUUAAUUUACAUAACUAGCAAAUCCUUAGGAUGAUCCCUCGGUUUGAAGAUCUCUUCUGAUAUGGAAAAGUCGAUGAUAGUUGGAAAGAUUUAGUAAUAAUUUAAUUUAGAAUUGAGAUAGCUUUUGGCUUUAUGGAGUUUUCCCUUGGAUUUUUAGCUUGGUAGUUUAGCUUAGCAGUUCUGUUUGCGUGGAGGCAAAGCUACAUCCUAUGGUUGUUGCUCUGUUUUUGUGGUUUCCUUGGUCUUUUCCUCUUCGUUUGUUUCAUUUGCUAAACCUGCAGAUUUGUAUCUUCUCCUUGUAAAACAGAGUAAUAUUGUGAGAACUAUUUGUUCUUCUCUAUUCUUCUCAACGUUAGAGGCCAUAUAUAUAUAUAUACAAUUAUACCUUCCAAGAAAGGAAACAACCUAUUCUAAGGAAAACUAAAUAUUCCUAUACAGGAUUGCAGAUCACUACCAGAUUUCUAGGAAUAAUUGCAGAUUCUAGAAUCAGUCUAAUAUAUUACACCUCACAUAUAGCUCAUGCAGACACUCCCCCUCAAGUUGGAGCAUAGAUAUCUAUCAUGCUCAAAUUGUCAGUUAUACCAUGAAACACCCUUCCUGCAACUACUUUUGUGAGUAUAUCGGCUAACUGACUUUCAGCAUGGACAAAUGAAAACUGUAUGUUCUUAUGAUCGAGAUUCUCCUUGAUUUUUCUUGUUCAAUCUUCACAUAAAAUCAUAUCAAUUAUCCUUCUAACCCUUUAAGGUCAUUUUAUUAUUUUGGAAUAUAUUCAUUUUAGAAUUUCCACCUUUAUUUAUUUAUCGGGCUUAUUAUCGUUUCAAAAUAACAUCACUAAUUUUAAUCGGUGCUUGCACCUUCAGUCCUACCAUUUUCAUUGCAUUAUCCUUUAUUAUAAUGUAUUUUUUAUUACCUCACUUAUUUCCUAGAAAUAUUUUGUCAUUUUUCUCAUUAUUUUAUCCAUCAAAACACGUUACCAGUUUCUCUGUCCUUAUGAAUUCUAAAUCAAAAUUCAUUUUAUGGAGGUCAUCUUUUCCAUUAUAUAUCAUUAUUUAUCUAUUAUUUCUAAUCUUGGUUUCCAUCACUCAUUGAAAUAUUACCACUUUCAGUCUUACGUUUACAUGAGGGUUUACGCAUCUGCAUAUUUAAAUUAUAAAUUUCUAGGGUUUCACACAACGAAUAACAUAUUAUAUUCGAGGGAUGGAACAACAAGAACUGUAUCUAAAGUGAGAGUAUCAGAUAAGAUGAUAGAUCCUUCUCCACUAAUAGGAGAGGUACUACCAUUUGCGGUGGAGAUAACAGAUUUAGGAGAAGGGAAAAAAGAUUGUAAUUGAUUUGAGUCCCUAGUCAUAUGAUCGGAUGCACCUGUAUCAAUAAUCCAUGUACUAUUCUUAGAAGUUGUAGAGAAUACAGAAGCCUUACUAACACCUCCUAUCUGAGCAACAUUUGUUGUGGGUGGUGAUUGAUCUACCUCGGUAGAGGUCACCAUAGCUUUUCCUGCAAUCUUCUUUCGAAGUUUCUUUGUGAAGUCCCACCAUUCACGAUAGCCAAUAAUUUCAUAGCAUCUUUGUUUAGAAUGACCUAUUUCACCACAAUGAGAACACACAAAUCUGCUAGAUUUACUAGGUGGUUGAUUGUUAUGAGUCUUUGAAAAGCCCAAAGAUUGUCCUUGUCUAGUUUGAUUAGCCAACAUAGCCGAGCUUUUAGAGAUUUGACGAGAGCCUCCCAUUGUUUGUUUCUGUUGGUGUUCUCUCCUAACAUACACAUAUGUACUUUCUAAAUCGAGUUUUGGGUCUUUUUGUAAGAUUUCUCCACGGACCUAAUCAAGUUCUGAAUCAAGUCCACUUAGAAAAAUAUGAACUCGAAGCCAAGCUAUUGCAUAGUGCAACUGGACCACCCCUUCAACCGUUCCUUCUUGAGAGAUAGUCCUGUGAUCAAUUUCCUAGAAAAUGGCAACAAGUUCAUUAUAGUAGGUUGAUAAUGGUCGUCCAUUUUGCAUGGUAUGAAAAGACCUCUGAUUCAAUUCGAAAAUGCAGGUUUCAUCCGAUCCAUCAUAGAAGGUUUUUGAUACAACCUCCCAUAUGUCCUUGGUUGUGGGGAGACGAAUAAAACGCUGCAUCAACAAUAGACUCAUUGAGUCAAUAAGCCAACUUUUGACUUUGUGAUUUUCAAUAAUCCACGUUCCAAGAUUUGGGUCUCCAGGUGUUGGUUUUUUUGUUUCUCCAAUGAGAUAACCAUCUUUGUUGUGAGCGCCAAUACACAUCUCCAUAAGUUGGGACCAUAAUGAGUAGUUGGUCUCAUCUAGUGUAAUACCAGCAAGAAAUGCAGAGUUGUCUUGAUGGACAAUGAUUUGUGGUGCUAGUUGUUGUUGUUGUUACCUAUUUUUGGGUUCCCCAUAAAAAAUAAAAAAAUACAAAAAAUACAUAUCAAAAAAAUAUAUUCGGAAUGAAUAAAAAAAAUAGGAGUGAGAAAAGGAUGUUGGAACUCCCAUAAAAUGGCUAGGAAUUGGUUAAGGAGAUUCAGAAAUACAAGAAUUGAAAUUUGACAUUAUAAGAGCCAUGUUGACAAAGAAAAUUCAAGUUGAGGAAAAAUUUAAAAUCAGAUGUUUAUGGACUCAAUUAAAUUUUAUCUAAGAUUUAAUUGAAUUUAUAGAGGGUUUGAUUGCAAAAAAAAAUAGAUUUUAAAGUCAAUUUAGGCUUUUAUUGGAUGAAAUUAAAGUUCUGGGGUCCAAUUAUAAUUUUAAAGAGUUGAUUUGGCCAAAUCAAGGGACUUAAUUGAAACAAUCCGAAACCAAGGACCAAACCGAAAAAGGUGCUAAAAUCAAAGGAUCCAAUUACAACUUUUCCGGGGGGUUUGAUUACAAAAUAGGAAAAACAUCCAAGGACCAAAUCAGAAAUAUCAUUUUGAAAUUGAAACGGCGCCGUUGCAUUAAGAAUGACUGCACACUACUCACUAUCUUCAAGCAACGGUUUCUGCGGUAAAAACGGGAGCGGUGGAGCUGCAAUCAAGGGCAUGUCUCGCGGCUGAUUUCCUCACCACCAUAAUGCAUGCCAGCCGUUACCAUAUGCCUGCCAUAACGCAUGCAUCCUCUGGCUAUAAAAGCCAGAGGAGGGACCAAGCAGAAGAGGAGGAGAAGGACAGAAGGAAAAAGAGAACAAAUGGAGAAAGAGAGAGGAAAGGUGACAGUGGGGAGAAAAAAAGGAGGGGAGAGAGCCGCACCAGCACUGCCAACGCCAUCGUGCUCAGCUCAUCAUCUACUUCGUCCAGCAGCCACUGCCAUUACCCAUCACAAACGCACUAGCACUGCACAAAGGAGGGGAGAAAAAGAACGAGACAGGGGAAACGAGAGAAGAGAAAGAAGAACAGAGGAAAGAACACAGUGGGAAAUUCAGGAAACACAAAGGAAGCCGCAUGAGGAUAUAGAAACCGAAGAGCAAAGGAACAGCAGUAGGAGAAACCGAACGGCGAAGCCAAAACGCAAAGACAGCAGGGGAGGUUAACACCACCAUCGGUUUCCUUUCUCCAGAAGCAGGUAUGUUCAUGUCCUUUCUUCGCAACAAUUGACGCCAGUUUUGUCUAGAAAAACCAAAAGAAACCAGGAGAUGAAAGUAAGCCAAAAGAUCGGCAUUUCGUUUUUUACUCUGUUACUAACAGAUAUCUGCAAAAAAACGAAGGAUGAACAGUGCGAAGGUUAUAUUUCCUUCGCACUGUUCCAUGCACGCGUAGAAUUUUACCCGUGCAUGGCUUAGUUGGGUCCAUCGACAUUUAAACGCCGAUGAUAUUACUCGGGCGGCCUCAAUGUUUGUGAACCUGAAAAUAAUUGAAAUAAAUGAAAUAGUGAUUACUUCAUAAAUUAUGUUGUAAUUUUUGUUAAAAAAAAAUUAAAACCUUAACAAACUUACAAACAAGUACCUGCAUUGAAAUAUUAAUCAAGUAUUUUCAAUUAAGAAAAACAUAUAAAAUACUUUUAUAUAUGAAUUACAUUGCAACUGUAAUAUCUAACCAUUCGAAUGGGUACAUCCAUCUAUAUUGGACCGGUCCUCCAGCUUUUGUCUCGAACGGUAGAUGUAUAGGGAGAUGCUCCAUUGAGUCAAAAAAUGAUGGAGGGAAUAUCAUCUCAAGUUUGCAUAGUGUCUCAAUGAUAUUCGUUUGAAGCCUCUCAAUGUGAUCAACAUUCAACUUGUUGGAGCAUAUAUCUCUGAAGAAAUGACUGAUCUCCGUGAGUGCAUCCCAUAUUCCCUUUGGCAACAAAUCACGAAAAGCUAAUGGGAUGAGUGUUUGCAUAAACACGUGACAAUCAUGACUCUUCAUUCCAUACAAUCUGCAGUCCUCUAUAUUAACCAGCCUUGAUAUGUUCGAUGCAUGUCCAUCCGGAAAACGCAGACUCUUAAGCCAUUUAUAGACUAGCAGUUGUGCGUUUUUCUCUAACACGAAGCUUGCUCUUGGUUUUGCGACCCGUGACUCAUCAUAAACCAACUCCAUAUUUUUACGAUUAUAGUGUAAAGCUAUAUCCAAUCUACCCUUGAUGUUGUCCUUUGUCUUCCCCUUCACAUCCAUAACGGUGUUGAAAAUGUUCUCAAACAUGUUCUUUUCGAUGUGCAUGACGUCAAGGUUAUGGCGGAGUAGAUUGGUCUUCCAAUAAGGAAGCUCCCAAAAGAUACUUCGCUUUACCCAAUUAUAGGUCAAACCAAAACCAAGAAACUUUUGCUUACCUGAUUGAAGGCCAAACACAAUGUCACCGUACUCUGAGACAAUAUCAUGCAAUUCUUCACCAGAAAGACGCGGGGAUGCAACAUCUUUUUCAACUCUGCCAACAAAGAAAUCUUUUCUGUUCUUUCUGUACCUGUGAUUAAGUGGCAAGAAGCGACGGUGACAGUAAAAAAGAGAGGCUUUACCUCCGUUUGCUAGCGUGAAUGCCUUGUUGUUUUCCAUGCAGUAUGGACAUGCGAGUUUCUCAUGGGUGCUCCAACCAGAAAGCAUUCCAUAAGCUGGAAAAUCAUUGAUAGUCCAUGUCAUCACCCAAUUUUGGGUGAUUCCCCAAAAUUCAUUUUUUUCCCAAAAAAAUAAAAAAAAUAAAAAAUAAAAAAUAAUAAAAUAAAGGCUGGCAAUGCGGAGAAAGCCGACCAAGAAAGGCUGCAUGGACCGGGUAUGACAGUAGAUAAAAACAUGAACUCCGGCCUCAUACACAUUCCCGGUGGAAAGUUAUAAACUCUGAGUAUGACCGACCAAUAAGAAUAAGGAGCAGCAAAUGACCCAAAUGGGUUGAAUCCGUCUGUACACAACCCAAGAUGCACAUUCCUUGAUUCAGCUGAAAAGUGAGGAUGAACACUGUUAAAGCGUUUCCACGCUUCGCUGUCAGAAGGAUGAACCAUCACUCCAUCAACCGCAUGGUGUGCUUGGUGCCAUGUCAUGUGCUCAGCAGUCCUUGGUGACAUGAAUAACCUCUGCAGUCUAGGUGUGAUCGGGAAGUAUCUAAGUUUUUUAUAUGCCAUUAGAGUCUUUCCCCUGCCAGUUCUAGGUUUGUAACAAGAAUUCCCGCAUGUCAUGCACUCGGUCAUCUCAGCAUUUUCAAGGUAGUAUAACAUGCAGAAGUUAGGGCACAUGUCAAUUUUUUGGUAUCCUAAACCGAGGGGUUUCAUCAUGGACUUCGCAGCAUAGAAGUUCUCUUUCAGCCUGUUCCCUUCAGGUAAAAUGCUUCUUGCCCAUUCAAUAAUCUUGUCAUACCCGGCCUCACUCAACCCGUGAUCUGACUUGAUGGUGAACACCUAUGCUACGACCGAUAAUUUACUGUGGUUCGUGCAGCCAUCCCAUAAUGGUUCGUCAGAAUCUUUCAACAAAUCAAAAAACCUAGCUGCAUCUGCAUUAGGUUCUUUUUCUAUGAUUGGACAUUGACUGACAUUACCUUGAUUCAUUCUCAUUGCAUCCAUAACCAUAUUUCUGUAAGGAUUAGUGUUGUCAUUUGCCGCUUCAUGCACGUUGCUAGCACUAGAAGUAGACCCAACCACCGUUUCUUCCAUUCUCCUCUCACUAACAAAUACUUCUUCAUGUGCAUACCAAUACUGGUAAUUCUCCAUAAACCCUUUGUGUAGAAGAUGCAUCAUUACAACAUCUGGAUGCAGAUACUUUUUAUUUUGACACUUCCUGCAUGGACACCUAAUACCGCCUCUAGUAAAAUUUCUGGGAAUAGAUGUUGCGAAAUUAAUAAAACCCUGAACCACAUUACAAUAAUCCAUCCUCCGCAAUCCUUGAGGUGAAUCUCGAUACAUCCAUGAACGAUCAUCCAUGACUUAUAUCGAACCUCUAUAAAAUUAUGAUGACAUCAUGUAUUAAUUAACUAAGUUAGGUAAAUAAACUUGCAAAAAUAUUACUUUACCUCGAGAUUAUCCAACAAAACAAUCACAACUUCUCAUAAAUAUUAAAUAUUCAUUAUCAUUUAUCAACGUCCAUACAAAUUAAAAUAUAUAAAUUUACGGAAAUUACCACUCCGCAAUACCAUUAAUAAAACUUUAAACGGACCCAUUAAGCAAGCUAUUAAUUAUUUCAAAACAGCACAUGUACUUCGGUAGUUCCAUAAAGUUUUAACAAUUUACAAACAAAUACAAUCUUACAAAAUCUAAAACAAACCAUAACAGGUAUAUAAUUAUACAUUCAUAUGCUACAAGUUUGUUUGAGAAAUAACAAUAAAUCAUGUACAUCUACUAACAAAAUACAUAUACUAAAAAAACAAUAAAAUUGACAUUUAAUUAAAUGUUAAAAUUUCAAAAGAUAGAAUUACUUACAAAAAUUGAUAAAAUCCGUCAGUAAAUCAGAACACGGAUGCUGUGACCACAAAACUUUAAGAAAUAUAACUUGUGCUGAUAUGAGGGAGAUUUUUGUUUGGGGGGGAGGGGGGCCUGGUUGUUUGCAGAUGGGGAGAGUUGGGAUUAGGAAGAAGAAGGAGAAAUAGGGGAGGAGAGGGUUGGCAGAGCGGACAUAUAUUAACUUUUCCCGGCGGUUUCACCGACGGACACUCCGUCGGUGAUUCUGACGGAACAAUCGACACGUCACCGUACGGAUAUGUCAUUUCAAAUCCCUCGGUGAUUCCGUCGGCAAUUUAAACGGUGAACCGGUCACAUCGCUGUACGGGCUGUCUUUUUGAAUCCGUCGGAAAAAAUAACCCGCCAAAACCUCCACGUCAGCGACUCGCCUUUUUUUACGACGAAAACUUUUCCGUCCGUAAUUCAGUCUGUAACUACCGACAGAAAGUUUUCGUCGGUAGUUACCUACUGAAUUAUAGACGGAAAAGUGUCUGUCGGUAGUUACCGACUGAAGUACGGACGGAAUAGUGUCCGUCGGUAAUUUCAACCUCAAAUUACUGACAGACAUAUUCCGUCGGUAAAUCCAUUGCUAUUUAGCGAAUUUCUGGUAGUGGGUCUCGCUCUUUUACAAAAGCAACUUCUUCAUGAUAUUUUAAAACAAGAUGCUGCUAAUAACAUCAACAAUAUUGUUGAUAGAGGAAUGGUUCUGAUCAAAGAAAGACUUUGUCGCAAAAGAGUUCUGGUUGUUGCUAAUGACGUGUCUCAUCUUGACCGGCUAAAUGCUUUGAUGGGAGAGCGAAGUUGGUUUGGUCCCGGAAGUAGAGUAAUUAUUACAUCAAGAGAUGUAUUUACUUCUUAACGGGGAUCAAACAUAUCAGAUCAAAGAAUCGAAACAAGACGAGUCCAAAGGAAGUCCUUCAGCCUCUAAGGACACCAAGCAAGCAGAAGACUAUAUUUAGCUUUACCGUGGAGGACUUCCGUUAGCUCUUGAGGUUAUAGGUGCUUGUUUGUCUGGGAAGAACAAAAACAAAUGGAAAUCUGUAGUUGACAAGUUCAGAAGAAUUCCAAACCGCGAUAUUCAAGGAAAGCUUAGAAUAAGUUUUGAUGCACUGGACGAUGAUGAACUGCAAAUUAAAUGUUAAAGAAUAAUAUAAAUCAUAUCCUGGAACCUCAUCUAAAAACUUAACUUAUUGGGUUGAAUUGGUUCUAUGACAUGGUAUCAGAGCCUUGAUAAUCAAACGAUCACGAGUUCGAAUCUCAUCUUCUCUAUUUAUUUGAUAAAAAUUAAAUACAAGGUAAUAUGUGGGCUUUCACUUGAGGGGAUGUAUUAAAGAAUAAUACAAAUCAUAUCCUGAAACUUCACUUAAAAAUUUAAGUUAUUGAAUUGAAAUGAUUCUUCAAGAGAAAAUGCCCUCCUUAUAUUGCAUGCUUCUUUAUUGGUAGAAAGAAAGAAUACGUUGACAAAGUGCUAGAAGCCCGUUGUGGUUAUGGUCUAGAAAUUGAUUCUUCCUUAUAUUAGAGUUUUAUAAGUUGAACUUUGCAAGUUUAUAAGUUGAAACUUCACUUUCUUUUCUUUUCUUUCUUUUCCCAAUCUGCUUCCCAGUCGGCAGCAUAUAAAAGGAAGGGAGAGCUAAUUUUUUUUAUUUUUAAUGGCAAAUAACCAUUUUACCCUUAAUGAGUCCUUUUGCUUUUAUUUGACAGUUUUUUUUUUUGCUAGUACUACCAAGCUCCGUUCAUUCUAAAAUUUUAACCAGAUUUUAUUCCUUAUAUUUUAAGGUCCCUCGUAAAAUUUCAGCUCAAUCUGAUGGUCGGAUUGAAAAUUACAUUCAAUAACGUAAAACUAGUCAAAUUGUGAUUUUUCGUCAAAUUUCCAAAUUUAUCCAAAAAUUCUGAAAUUUUAACUCAAGCUAAGACAUCAUUUUAGAAGGCUUCAUGUAAAUUUUCAGAAUUUUCUAAUAACUCAAUAAAGAGUUAUAAAUUUUUUUAUUUUAUAUAAAACUAGUCAAUUUAUAAUUUUUAUCCUAAUUUACGUGCCCAUUCCUCGUACACUCCUCUAUCAUAAUCAUAUCACGCCGACAUAUACGUGUCCCUCUGGAUCCACACACCAUAUAUACGUGUCCCUCUGGAUCCACACACCAUAUAUACGUGUCCCUCUGGAUCCACACACCAUAUAUACGUGUCCCUCUGGAUCCACACACCAUAUAUACGUGUCCCUCUGUAUCUAUAUACGUGUCCCUCUGCAUCCACACACCCACAUAUACGUGUCCCUCUCCAU
rnacentral:lncRNA from 1 species